rnacentral:rRNA from 1 species
CCUACGGGGGGCUGCAGUGGGGAAUAUUGGACAAUGGGCGAAAGCCUGAUCCAGCCAUGCCGCGUGUGUGAAGAAGGCCUUCGGGUUGUAAAGCACUUUCAGUGGGGAAGAAAGCCUUGGGGCUAAUACCCUCGAGGAAGUACAUCACCCACAGAAGAAGCACCGGCUAACUCCGUGCCAGCAGCCGCGGUAAUACGGAGGGUGCGAGCGUUAAUCGGAAUUACUGGGCGUAAAGCGCGCGUAGGCGGUCUGAUAAGCCGGUUGUGAAAGCCCCGGGCUCAACCUGGGAACGGCAUCCGGAACUGUCAGGCUAGAGUGCAGGAGAGGAAGGUAGAAUUCCCGGUGUAGCGGUGAAAUGCGUAGAGAUCGGGAGGAAUACCAGUGGCGAAGGCGGCCUUCUGGACUGACACUGACGCUGAGGUGCGAAAGCGUGGGUAGCAAACAGGAUUAGAUACCCGUGUAGUC